AACACCAUUUUUCUAAGACAAGAUGAUUCUCAAUAGGUCUUAAAAAUCCAUGUCUCAAGAUGGUUCAACAGUGUUUAAGCUCAAAAGCCCUGGGGCACCGCAUGUGACAUACUCCAGGCUGGUCAGGGAAUACUUGGCGCAGGAGUGAUUUCGAACUCACUUUAAUGGACAUGGAGAAGGUUGACAAAAUCUGUGUAAUGGCACUGUCCUCUAUUUGACAAGCUGUGCAAUAGUUCAACCGGAGGGUCAUCUACGUAGUGGAAAAUGAUGUGCCUGCACCGGAACGUGGUGAGCUUGAGUUAGUGGGGAAGAGGUUGCAAAUUCCUGGUGGUCGUUAGUGAUGGUUUCAUUUUUGCAUCUGAUUGCCUGAUAGGAAAAUUCCCUUGAGGGGUUGAGGUGUGGAGGAGUUGAUGAUUAGUGUCCUGUAGAGUUGAUGCAAGGGGCUUUCUUCAGUAGAGUCAGUCAAGUGAAAGUCCUAUAUCAGAAGUUCCCAGAGAGAACUCAGCUUGAUGAUGCUUUGUUUAGUGGCCACAGAUUAGAGGCGGGGAAGAAGUGUGUAUAAUAACUUCCUGAAGUUCAU